CAGCCGCCGCGGGAAUACGUAGGUGGCAAGCGUUGUCCGGAAUUAUUGGGCGUAAAGGGCUCGCAGGCGGUUUCUUAAGUCUGAUGUGAAAGCCCCCGGCUCAACCGGGGAAGGUCAUUGGAAACUGGGAAACUUGAGUGCAGAAGAGGAGAAUGGAAUUCCACGUGUAGCGGUGAAAUGCGUAGAGAUGUGGAGGAAUACCAGUGGCGAAGGCGACUCUCUGGUCUGUAACUGACGCUGAGGAGCGAAAGCGCGGGGAGCGAACAGGAUUAGAUACCCCAGUAGUCCCUGUCUCUUAUAC
rnacentral:rRNA from 1 species